UUUUUUUGGGUUUCUCACGUGCUUCUAUUGUGAGGAACAACGGGAAGCUACCGCGUGAGUGGAUGCAGAUCUCUAAAACUCACCUCAGUUCGGAUCGAAGUCUGCAACCCGACUUCGUGAAGCUGGAAUCGCUAGUAAUCGCGCAUCAGCCAUGGCGCGGUGAAUACGUUCCCGGGCCUUGUACACACCGCCCGUCAAGCCAUGGAAGCUGAAGGUGCCUGAAGUCGGUGACCGAAAGGAGCUGCCCAGGGCAAAUUUGGUGACUGGGGCUAAGUCGUAACAAGGUAACCGUAA
rnacentral:rRNA from 1 species